GACGCGACCUCCGCUCAGGCGGGGCUACCUGCUGAGUUUAAGCAUAUCAAUAARCAAAGGAAAAGAAACUAAUGAGGAUUUCCCUG
rnacentral:rRNA from 1 species